AUUGAACGCUGGCGGCAGGCCUAACACAUGCAAGUCGAGCGGAUGAGAGGAGCUUGCUUCUUGAUUCAGCGGCGGACGGGUGAGUAUUGCCUAGGAAUCUGCCUGGUAGUGGGGGACCACGUUUCGAAAGGAACGCUAAUACCGCAUACGUCCUACGGGAGACAGCAGGGGACCUUCGGUCCUUGCGCUCUCAGAUGAGCCUAGGUCGGAUUAGCUAGUUGGUGAGGUAAUGGCUCACCAAGGCGACGAUCCGUAACUGGUCUGAGAGGAUGAUCAGUCACACUGGAACUGAGACACGGUCCAGACUCCUACGGGAGGCAGCAGUGGGGAAUAUUGGACAAUGGGCGAAAGCCUGAUCCAGCCAUGCCGCGUGUGUGAAGAAGGUCUUCGGAUUGUAAAGCACUUUAAGUUGGGAGGAAGGGUUGUACGUUAAUACCGUGCAAUUUUGACGUUACCGACAGAAUAAGCACCGGCUAACUCUGUGCCAGCCGCCGCGGUAA
rnacentral:rRNA from 1 species